rnacentral:rRNA from 1 species
GACGAACGCUGGCGGCGUGCUUAACACAUGCAAGUCGAACGGAAAGGCCCCUUUGGGGGUACUCGAGUGGCGAACGGGUGAGUAACACGUGAGUAACCUGCCCUUGACUUCGGGAUAACUUCAGGAAACUGGGGCUAAUACCGGAUAGGAAUCCUUGCUGCAUGGUGGGGGUUGGAAAGCUUCGGCGGUUUUGGAUGGACUCGCGGCUUAUCAGCUUGUUGGUGGGGUAGUGGCUUACCAAGGCUUUGACGGGUAGCCGGCCUGAGAGGGCGACCGGCCACAUUGGGACUGAGAUACGGCCCAGACUCCUACGGGAGGCAGCAGUGGGGAAUAUUGCACAAUGGGCGGAAGCCUGAUGCAGCAACGCCGCGUGCGGGAUGACGGCCUUCGGGUUGUACACCGCUUUCAGCAGGGGCGAAGCUUGUGGUGACGGUACCUGCAGAAGAAGCACCGGCUAACUACGUG